AUUUUGGACAAUGGGGGAAACCCUGAUCCAGCCAUCCCAUGUGUAUGAUGAAUGCCUUCGGGUUGUAAAGUACUUUUGGCAGAGAAGAAAAGGUAUCCCCUAAUACGGGAUACUGCUGACUGUAUCUGCAGAUUAAGCACCGUCUAAACACGUACAAGCCUCCGCGGUAAUACGUAGGGUGCAAGCGUUAAUCGGAAUUACUGGGCGUAAAGCGUGUGUAGGCGGUUCGGAAAGAAAGAUGUGAAAUCCCAGGGCUCAACCUUGGAACUGCAUUUUUAACUGCCGAGCUAGAGUAUGUCAGAGGGGGGUAGAAUUCCACGUGUAGCAGUGAAAUGCGUAGAUAUGUGGAGGAAUACCGAUGGCGAAGGCAGCCCCCUGGGAUAAUACUGACGCUCAGACACGAAAGCGUGGGGAGCAAACAGG
rnacentral:rRNA from 1 species